UAAGACAUUAUCUGAAGAUUUCAUUAGAGAAUUUUCAGAUAAAGUUUAUUG
rnacentral:pre_miRNA from 1 species